UGGGUUCACUAGAUUAUGUCGGUUCUUCUACUCGUCGAACUUUAUAAGUUUCAUAUUAAAGGUAUCAGUACCUUUACCAAGGUACUUUUUUUUGAAAAAAAUACCGAACAACUCUUGUUCUUUAUCAUGGUAGAAGUUAUAUCCCCUAGAUUCUUUGGGGUAUCCUAUAUAAUAAUACAUAUAGGAUCAGGAUCCAAGCUAAUUUAUCUA
rnacentral:lncRNA from 1 species